GCAACAAAAAAAGAGAAGGCAAAUGUCAACGCAGGGCUCGCUGCCUCUAGGCUGCUCAGCUGCCCGAACUCCUGGGGAAGAGGUGCAGAAACCCCGUGAGAAAGGGAUCACCUAAGGGCGUCGCUGAACCGGUAUCUCCAAGAGAGCUGCUAAGAACCAAGAGAACCCCUACCACUCCUACGCCUUCCCAGAAACCCGGGGAGCAGGAGCAGGAGCAGGAGCACACUCGGGCCAGAGGGCGCGCGGCCGAGCCGGGGCCACGUUUCUCCGCGCCAGCGUGGUUAGCGCUUCCCGGCGGCGAGCUCCCUCGGAAACUGCGCACGUGUGGGCAGCCUUGGCCGCCCUGCACGGACCAGAAGACACCUCUCGCCGCGGCUCGGACAGGGGGCGCGCCGGCAGGAGCCACGAAGAGCUGGGACCCACCGAGCCCUACGGUCGCGUGGGCAGACGUGUAUCCUGUUAUGCACGGCAUGUCUCUCCUGACCUCUAAUCACACGUGCGUCUCAAGGGUGGACCUCAGUUUCAGCUGCUGUUGGAGAACACUUGCAGACCAAUUGUGAACUUACAGAUAAGGAAACUGAGGUUCCGAGAAAUUAAGAAACAUGAACGAUGGCAUCUAUGAAGUCUGGCUCUGGAGCUCAAGCUCUAGAUGACUGCCCUGAAUUGCCUCACCUUUACAAGAGAGAAGCUCUCCAGGCCAGAGGCUGCGUGCUUGAGGCUGUGUCCUGGAGAACGAUUUGAGACCUCAAAGCACCCUCGAGCUGCAAUUCUGCGCCAGGGCUUGAAGCUUCCAGACUAAGUCUUGCUUCUUGUUCAAUUAAAAAAACAAAGCGGGCGCCUGGGUGGCUCAGUCGGUUAAGCGUCUGACUUCAGCCCGGGUCAUGAUCUCACGGUGAGUUCGAGACCCGCGUUGGGCUCUGUGCUGACAGCUCGGAGCCUGGAGCCUGCUUCGGAUUCUGUGUCUCCCUCUCUUUCUGCCCCUCCCCUACUCAUGCUCUGUCUGUCUCUGUCUCAGAAAUAAAUAAACAUUAAA